rnacentral:rRNA from 1 species
GUGGUUUAAUUCGAUGCAACGACGAAAAACCUUACCCAACCUUUGACAUGGCAGGAAUCCCGAAGAGAUUUGGGAGUGCGUCGAAAGAGAACCUGCACACAGGUGCUGCAUGGCUGUCGUCAGCUCGUGUCGUGAGAUGUUGGGUUAAGUCCCGCAACGAGCGCAACCCUUGCCAUUAGUUGCUACGAAAGGGCACUCUAAUGGGACUGCCGGUGACAAACCGGAGGAAGGUGGGGAUGACGUCAAGUCCUCAUGGCCCUUAUAGGUGGGGCUACACACGUCAUACAAUGGCCGGUACAGAGGGUAGCCAACCCGCGAGGGGGAGCCAAUCCCACAAAGCCGGUCGUAGUCCGGAUCGCAGUCUGCAACUCGACUGCGUGAAGUCGGAAUCGCUAGUAAUCGCGGAUCAGCAUGUCGCGGUGAAUACGUUCCCGGGUCUU